AUACGCCGGGUGACAACCGGCCAUAACGGGGAUGAUGGACGCAGCGGUUUUGCCGGUUUCUCGUUGCGACAGCAACGCAUUGGUACGCGUGGAAAUCUAACCCGUUCCCGGC
rnacentral:sRNA from 1 species